GAUGAACGCUGGCGGCGUGCCUAAUACAUGCAAGUCGAGCGCAGCGGGAACGGGUGAGUAAGGCGUGGUAAACCGCCUUUACCACUGGGAUAACUUCGGGAAACCGGUGCUAAACCGGAUACUUAUAGGUCGAUCCGCGCUGCAUUAGCUAGUUGGUAAGGUAACGGCUUACAAAGGCCACGAUGAAUAGCCGACCUGAGAGGGUGAUCGGCCACACUGGAACUGAGACACGGUCCAGACUCCUACGUGAGGCAGCAGUAGGGAAUCUUCGGCAAUGGGCGAAAGCCUGACCGAGCAACGCCGCGUGAGUGAAGAAGGUCUUCGGAUCGUAAAACUCUGUUAUUAGAGAAGCGGUACCUAAUCAGAAAGCCACGGCUAACUACGUGCCAGCAGCCGCGGUAAUAC
rnacentral:rRNA from 1 species